rnacentral:rRNA from 1 species
UACGGAGGGCGCUAGCGUUGUUCGGAAUUACUGGGCGUAAAGCGCGUGUAGGCGGCUUGGCAAGUCGGUUGUGAAAGCCCGGGGCUCAACCCCGGAACUGCAUUCGAAACUGCCUGGCUAGAGUCCCGGAGAGGGUGGUGGAAUUCCCAGUGUAGAGGUGAAAUUCGUAGAUAUUGGGAGGAACACCAGAGGCGAAGGCGGCCACCUGGACGGUGACUGACGCUGAGACGCGAAAGCGUGGGGAGCAAACAGG